rnacentral:rRNA from 1 species
UGCAAGUCGUGCGGAAAGGCCCCGCAAGGGGUACUCGAGCGGCGAAAGGGAUAGUAACACGUAGGUACCUACCUUGGGGUCGGGGAUAGCCGCGGGAAACUGCGAUUAAUACCCGAUGAUGUCGUGAGACCAAAGGUGUGAUUCCGCCCUUAGACGGGCCUGCGUCCUAUUGGCUAGUUGGUGAGGUAACGGCCCACCAAGGCUGAGAUGGGUAGCGGGUGUGAGAGCACGACCCGCAUCACUGGGACUGAGACACUGCCCAGACACCUACGGGUGGCUGCAGUCGAGAAUCUUCGGCAAUGGGCGCAAGCCUGACCGAGCGACGCCGCGUGCGGGAUGAAGGCCCUCGGGUUGUAAACCGCUGUCGUAGGGGAGGAAUGGCCGGUGGGUAAUCUCAUCGGUUUGACCUAUCCUAGGAGGAAGGACGGGCUAAGUUCGUGCCAGCAGCCGCGGUAAUACGAACCGUCCAAACGUUACUCGGAAUCACUGGGCUUAAAGGGUGCGUAGGCCGCGCGGAGGGUGGGAUGUGAAAUCCCCCGGCUCAACCGGGGAAUAGCGUCCCAAACCGCCGUGCUCGAGGGAGACAGAGGUGAGCGGAACUGAUGGUGGAGCGGUGAAAUGCGUUGAUAUCAUCAGGAACACCAGUGGCGAAGGCGGCUCACUGGGUCUUUCCUAACGCUGAGGCACGAAAGCUA